AAAUUUAUAAAAGAAGUUAAACCACCUCUGUUGCCUCCAAUUUGCCCUACAUCUAACCCCGAACAACUCAUCCUCAUUGCCUCCAAUUUCCCCUCAUCGCUACUCCACCUCCACCGUAGCAUGUCCACCGUAGCAACUCCACCAUCGCACCAUAUCCACCGUCGCACCACCUCACUGUUGCCCAACCUCCGCCAUCGCACCAUUUCCGGAUCAUUGAAGAAUCCUCACAAUCUCCCAUGUCCACUGUAGCACCUCCACCAUCGCACCAUAUCCACCGUCGCACCACCUCACUGUUGCACAACCUCCGCCAUUUCCGGAUCAUUGAAGAAACCUCACUAUCUCCGUUCCACUUGACUAUUCACUCAGAUCCUAUUUAGAAGUUAUCUUCUUAGAUCCGAUGAUGAAGAUAAAAGUGCAAGGGUCAUUGGUGUGAGGUGCUCUAACGUGUUUAGGUUUCGAAAGCCACGCGGUGAGGCGAGAGCUUCACGUACGCAAAGUGUUGCUCUAUGUACAAACGGAAGUUGCAUCUGUCUCAUUUGUUUGUACAUUUUAGCCUUUUAAACCACGCUUGAUACCUAUAAACUUAACUUGCAACAGGUUAAUAGCCGGCCUUUAGCAAAGUUUCUAAACAAGACUAGCAUAGAAAAUGGUUUUGUAUCGGAAAAACCAGUUCAGCUCAUUCUUGGACACUCUCAACUAGACCUGGAGCAGGGCUUACAAAAGAGUUGGGAGCAUGAUACAUAAUGGCGAAAACAGUCAUGGGCUUGUUGGAGUCAUUGAUGUGACUGAUGUGAUGAUUGUGAACCUUAUGCUUUGCUUGAGGAUUGGCUUAGUGAAAAGGCAGAUGAGUACUUGGACAACACUGUCGACAAGGUCAAUGUGAAAAAAGGUGGAGUGCGGUACAAACCUGAUCUACAUUUGAAUUCAAUCGAUCGCGACUAAAACAGUUUCAGAUCUUCUUCACAUAAAUUUGAUUUCUAAAUCGAUCGUUUGUCUCAAGCAACUCAGAGAAUUGGUGCUGCCACUGCAGCUGAAGUUAGAGCAACUGGUAUUCCAUAUGCUUUUGCCCCUUGUAUUGUUGUUUGCAGAGAUCCAAGAUGGGGUUGAUGUUACGAGAGUUACAGUGAGGAUUCCAAACUUGUUCAAAAUAUGACCGACGUUAUUCUAUGGUUGCAAGGUGAAAUUCCUAAAGGAUCACGUCUCGGUGUCCCAUACGUUGCUGGAAAGGACAAGGUAGCUGCAUGUGCAAAGCACUUUGUGGCAGACGGUGGGACGACUCUCGGCAUAGAUGAAAAUAACACCGUGGCCAAUCGGCAUGAAUUGCUAAGUAUCCAGGGUGUAUCAACAGUCAUGGUGUCGUAUUCCAGCUGGAACGGUUAAAGAAUGCAUGCCAAUCGCGAUCUUAUUACUGGAUACCUCAAGGACAAGCUUAAUUUCAAGGGUUUUGUUAUCUCAGAUUGGGAGGGAAUUGACCGAAUUACUUUGCCUCCUCAUUCCAACUACACUUACUCUGUCUUAGCUAGUAUUACAGCUGGCAUCGAUAUGGUUAUGGUCCCGAAUAAUUACAUUGAGUUCAUUAAUGACCUUAAAUAUUUCGUCAAAAACAAAUUUAUCCUAAUGGAUCGUAUUGAUGAUGCUGUGAGCAGAAUUUUACGAGUCAAAUUUACAAUGGGACUGUUUGAGAACCCUAUUGCUGAUUUCAGUAAGGUUAACGAGGUUUGAAGCCAGCCACACAGAGAUAUAGCGAGGGAGGCAGUGAGGAAAUCAUUGGUGCUGUUGAAAAACGGGAAACAAGGAAGUGAACCGGUUCUGCCCCUGCCCAAGAGAGCAUCCAAGGUUUUGGUUGCUGGAAGUCAUGCCGAUAAUCUUGGCUACCAAUGUGGCGGCUGGACAAUCGGUUGGCAAGGGUUUAGUGGGAAUGCAAACGCAACAGCUAUUGUCUAUCUUAUGGGUGGGCACAGGCACUAG